GGGGAGCUGAACGCUGCGCGCACCAACCCAGGCCCGAUGGUUUGUUGGAGAGACUGGACUUGAGAAGGUACAAUCAGGAACCAGCUUCAUUAUUUUCCAAGCACUGCCUUCAACUAGACUCUUUGGAUCACCUUCCCCAAUUGAGAGGAUUUCUUCGCCAAAUCUCAGACACUUUCAGGGUCACCAGAGAAGCCAGAGUGCAGACUGCAGGGAGUACGGGUUUGAAUGAACUUUGGCUGCUCCAUCAAGCAUGCUGAUCACUGAGGAAACAACAGAAGACUCACCCAAGUGA